CACGUAGGGCGCGAGCGUUGUCCGGAAUUAUUGGGCGUAAAGAGCUCGUAGGCGGCCUGUUGCGUCCGCUGUGAAAGCCCGGGGCUUAACCCCGGGCCUGCAGUGGGUACGGGCAGACUAGAGUGCGGUAGGGGAGACUGGAAUUCCUGGUGUAGCGGUGAAAUGCGCAGAUAUCAGGAGGAACACCGGUGGUGUAGACGGCUUUCUGGACCGUAACUGACGCUGAGACACGAAAGCGUGGGUAGCAAACAGG
rnacentral:rRNA from 1 species